UACGUAGGGGGCUAGCGUUGUCCGGAUUUAUUGGGCGUAAAGAGCGUGUAGGCGGCCAGGUAGGUCUGCUGUGAAAACUCGAGGCUCAACCUCGAGACGUCGGCGGAAACCAUCUGGCUAGAGUCCGGAAGAGGAGAGUGGAAUUCCUGGUGUAGCGGUGAAAUGCGCAGAUAUCAGGAAGAACACCCGUGGCGAAGGCGGCUCUCUGGGACGGUACUGACGCUGAGGCGCGAAAGCUAGGGGAGCAAAGCAGG
rnacentral:rRNA from 1 species